rnacentral:rRNA from 1 species
UACGUAGGGUGCGAGCGUUAAUCGGAAUUACUGGGCGUAAAGCGUGCGCAGGCGGUUGUGUAAGUCAGAUGUGAAAAUCCCCGGGCGUCAACCUACGGGAACGUAGCAUUUGUAGACUGCACGGCUAGAGUGUAGCAGAGGGGGGUAGGAAUUACCACCGUGUAGCAGUGAAAUAGCGUAGAGAUGUGGAGGAAUACCGAUGGCGAAGGC